rnacentral:tRNA from 1 species
GCCUGGGUAGCUCAGUUGGUUAGAGUGUGAUGCUGAUAACACCAAGGUUACAGUUUCGAUCCCUGUAUGGGACA